rnacentral:tRNA from 1 species
GUGGGUGUCGCCUAGUGGUCAUGGCAUCGGGUUGUGGUCCCGACAUUCGUGGGUUCGAAUCCCAUCAUCCACCCCU